rnacentral:lncRNA from 1 species
AAAAAACCUAAAAGAAACUAAGCCUCCUUGUGCCGCUCCGCAUAACGACCGUUUAUCAGCCCUCCAAACCUCCGUUCGACCCCGAUUACGACGGAGAGAACAAAGAUCCGGCCUCUAGGUAAUCUCCUCACUUUCUAGUCUUAUUCUUUUUUUAUUUCUACACUAAAAAUGAACAAUAGAACCAAAGAAAAACAGAGAAAAGCGAAGAGAGGAUUUUAAAUCACCUUACGAGUAUUCUGUUUCUUUUUCUUUGAAUCUUUUUUUUUGUAUUCAAUCUCUGUCCAAAAGGGGAGGAUUUACAUUGUAGUAUUCGGCUUUAUAUACCCGGAUCGGAAAAAAGAAAUAAAAAUAAAAUGAAAAUAAAAUCACAUCUAUUUUCUCUGCUAUUUUUGUUAUUCGAUUUGUUUGCUGUCCUUUUCUUUCUCCUGUGUGGUUGUUUGUUUGUUUGCUGCGCAAGUACGACGUACGGAGGCCAGCUGUGACAUGGGGGGGACGUGUGGCGGAUAUGGAUGGUACGGAGGGGCACGUGAGAGUAGCUCGCGUGCGGGGAGCGGCUCGAAGGCGUGGUUCGUGCGAGGGUAGAGCCUGGUUGCGGCGCUAGAGGUUUGCUGUUAGGGUUUCCGCAAUCUCUUUGGUGUUGGGCCGUCGGGUUUAGUAUUCUGGGCAUAUGCAUUUGGGCCUACUUGGAUUUAGGCCUGCUGAUGUAAUGAACUGGAC